rnacentral:rRNA from 1 species
AAGACCUUGCACUUUUGGAGCGGCCGAUGUCUGAUUAGCUAGUUGGUGGGGUAAUGGCCUACCAAAGCUUCGAUCAGUAGCUGGUCUGAGAGGACGGCCAGCCACACUGGGACUGAGACACGGCCCAGACUCCUACGGGAGGCAGCAGUGGGGAAUUUUGGACAAUGGGCGCAAGCCUGAUCCAGCCAUGCCGCGUGAGUGAAGAAGGCCUUCGGGUUGUAAAGCUCUUUCAGCCGGGAAGAAAAGGUUGCGACUAAUAAUCGCAAUUCAUGACGGUACCGAAAGAAGAAGCACCGGCUAACUACGUGCCAGCAGCCGCGGUAAUACGUAGGGUGCGAGCGUUAAUCGGAAUUACUGGGCGUAAAGGGCGCGCAGGCGGUUUUGUAAGUCAGAUGUGAAAUCCCCGGGCUUAACCUGGGAACU